GAGGCAGUGGUCCUAGUAUAGACAUCAGUCCCCUUCACUACAUAACCCUGAUUCAUCCUCCAAAGCAGAACCAACCUGUGCAUUGAAUAAGGCAGGAAUCCUAUGGAAAAAUAGAAUGUGAUCAUGUAAUUGAAGACUGUUAAGAAAUUCUAACAAGUGGAAAUAUAUUGACCUCCAACUCAGGUGAUCAGCAGGGUUCACACCUUUAUAUCCACAGCACAGACCUCUACAACUUUAGCCAAUGCAGUAAGGAUAGCAUGUGUACAGUUAUCCAUGUGGACCAGCCACUAAAGGACGAUGAGACACACUUUGCCAAUAGGUUUCAUAGCUAUCUAGUAACAGAAAAUAAAAGUAGAGAUUCAGGAUGCUUGACUUCAAUUCCUGGUUUUGGAGGGAGCGUUCUCUGUUGUAUAUAGAGUACCCGUGGCACCUUAGAGACUACAUCGGAGGCAUCCGAUGAAGUGAGCUGUAGCUCACGAAAGCUUAUGCUCUAAUAAAUCUGUUAGUCUCUAAGGUGCCACGGGUACUCCUUUUCUUUUUGCGAAUACAGACUAACACGGCUGCUACUCUGAAAUCUGUUGUAUAUAGACCUUUCUGACCCUGUGCACCCAUUAACUAUCUAAUUCACUUGGCACCAAUUGUGCUGUUUGUUUACUUUUUAUACUUAAUUCAACCUGAACAAUUAAAAUAGCCUACACGCUGAUCAGUUUCUCUUUCUGUUCUCUUGCACUAGCACAGAACUCUCUGGUUGCAAAUUCUUCAGAGGAAGUCUGGCUAAAAUAGCAAGAACUUUAUUCUUGGAAGAAAAACAAACAACAAAAAACAAUCCCGCCUAGCCUUCAGAGAGGAGAAACGCUUCUGGGUCCUAAUGCAGAUGGAGUUCCCUACUGGCACUUCUUGUCUGUUCCCUCCAGUGCAACCAUACAGAAAGCUAUUCUCCGAGUCCUGGCUGGGACUGCCCGUGAGGAUGGCAGUAACGCUCUUAAAUCUACACAGCUGUUUGAAAGGCUCUCAAUAGCUUACAUAAAAUAAUCACUUAAUCUUU